CAGAAUAGUGUCUUAACAACCAAGCUAUAGAAUAGCCUGAGCAUGGUGUAUACCUCUCUCAGGGAAGCUGUGGCACUGAAUAGCUAAGAACGGAAGAUUCAUGGGUCCAGAGAGAGCAAGAAAAUAGGGAGCAUUACUGCAUUACUCAGUUGUAAGGGCAAAUUUGUAGCAGAGGGCAGUUGCUCUUCUGGUCUCUGUUCCAAGAGAUUCUUAUGCACUUUCUAUUAGAUAGUCAUUGAGUAUCAGAAAAAACACCAGCCCAGGUAGUAGGGUUAUAUAUUCAGUUGCCCAAUUUCAACAGGAGGAUUAGGAAUGUUCCAUCCAGCUUAUACUAUAUCUUAAGGCAUUAUUCCAGGAAACAGGAGGGAACUUUUAAGGGUGGCCUGGAUCCCUGGUCUCCUAUUUCCACAGUAAGCCUUCUAGUAAUGAGCAGGUACAAGUACUGUAGUCAGUUAGGUGCUUACUCCCAGAAGGAUGACUUGUGUUUUCAGAUCCCAGGUAAACAAACACACCUAAUGAGCUCCAGAGAGAUUGAGAUGGUCAAGAUGCUUUAUGCUUCCCUUUAGUGUUCCUCUGGACUCUUUAAAUGACUAUUCUUAUAGACUAUAUAGAGGCCACAGGCACCUAACUCCAUUUGAAUCACUUGUUUAAUGCAAAGCAUCUGAUUUCAGGUGUUACAAUUGUAAGCACCUAUAUGAUCAAUCAGGAAGUAGGUGGGAACAGUGAUUCAUUCCCAAUUCCCUGUCAUGACACCCAGAUAAAACAAGGGGAGAGGAGUUCACUGAAGGAGCUGAGACUGGUGGGAACAGUAUUAACAGGACUACCAGCAGUGGCAGACUGGGCCAUGUUGUAAAAAGAGUGAUGAUAAUGCUUACCUAGUCCGCAGGUGUGUUGGAAGCUGUAUUGUACCUUGAGAAGCUAGAAUACAAAUACAAGCAUACCAAACAAAAUGAGCACUGAUACAUUUACUCUGAAGAAAUCAAAAUGCCCAUGUAAAGAACUAUAUGGACUUAAUGCACAAAUUAAAUAAAUGAUCUCUCCAAAAGUGAAAAUAAAAGUCGAUAAGAAAUAAAAGCUGAUUGCUGCUGUUUAGUGUGCAAGCUACAGAAAACCGCAUAACUUUGAUGCCACUUCGGGCUUUUUGAAUGUUUGUACCUAGCUUGAAUGUAAACAAAAGACUCACUUCUGCUACUCUGGAUGCACCUACCUGAGUGGCUACAUCACCACAGCUGUAGCUUGUUGCUACGGCUACAUAGCAUCAGCGGGCACAAACCAUGAUUUUGACGUUACUGCACGGUAGCAUGGGAAAAAACCCACAUGGCUUCAGGAGUGCACAGUAACACCAGUUGCUGAGCAGUCACUACUUGCUUAAGCAGAAGUUCAGCACACAUAGACUGGUUUAAAAAUGGCAGCACACAUAUGACUGGUUUUUAAAUGCUUAAGCAAGUACUAAAUGACUGUGCAGUAACAACUGUGCAGUCCGGUGCAUGUCUAGAUGCACCCAGUGGAUGUCAAUUAAAAAAGUAGCUCAAUGGAGUUUAUUGGGAUCGCUUGCAGCUAUAUGGCUGCUACGCACAGACAUUAAAAAUGGACAAAACCUAGUGCGUCCUACCAUUAUAAAACUGGUCCCCAAUAAAUAUUUUCUAUAACAUUAUCCAGUCUGAAUUUAAAUAAUUCAAUAUGCAUUCUUUUACUGUUACAAAUGUAUAAUAAGGUCUUCAAUUUUAUUU